GGCUCACUAGCUCAGCUGGAUAGAGCAUCAGACUUCGGAUCUGAGGGUCGGGGGUUCGAAUCCCUCGUGGGUCA
rnacentral:tRNA from 1 species